GUCUACAGCCAUACCACCCUGAAUGCACCAGAUCUUGUCUGAUCUCAGAAGCUAAGCAAGGUCAGGCCUGCUAGUCCUUGGAUGGGAGACCUUCACUUUCCUUGGGCCCCUGUGCAAG
rfam:Equus caballus chromosome 11, whole genome shotgun sequence.